UAGUCCACGCCGUAAACGAUGUCAACUAGUUGCUUGUGACUUUAAGUCGUGGGUGACGGAGCUAACGCAUUAAGUUGACCGCCUGGGGAGUACGGCCGCAAGGUUAAAACUCAAAUGAAUUGACGGGGCCCGCACAAGCGGUGGAGCAUGUGGUUUAAUUCGAUGCAACGCGAAGAACCUUACCAUCCCUUGACAUCCAGAGAACUUUCCAGAGAUGGAUUGGUGCCUUCGGGAACUCUGAGACAGGUGCUGCAUGGCUGUCGUCAGCUCGUGUUGUGAAAUGUUGGGUUAAGUCCCGCAACGAGCGCAACCCUUGUCCUUAUUUGCCAGCACGUAAUGGUGGGAACUCCAGGGAGACUGCCGGUGAUAAACCGGAGGAAGGUGGGGACGACGUCAAGUCAUCAUGGCCCUUACGAGUAGGGGCUACACACGUGCUACAAUGGCGCAUACAGA
rnacentral:rRNA from 1 species